rnacentral:rRNA from 1 species
UACAGAGGUCUCAAGCGUUGUUCGGAUUCAUUGGGCGUAAAGGGUGCGUAGGCGGCGCGGUAAGUCGGGUGUGAAAUUUCGAGGCUUAACUUCCGAAACUGCAUUCGAUACUGCCGUGCUUGAGGACUGGAGAGGAGACUGGAAUUUACGGUGUAGCGGUGAAAUGCGUAGAUAUCGUAAGGAAGACCAGUGGCGAAGGCGGGUCUCUGGACAGUUCCUGACGCUGAGGCACGAAG